UGUACAUUAAAACAAAAUCCAAUUUCCUUGAUUCAAGUAAAUUUUAUAUUGAACCGAACUUUUUUCCCAUAAAACCAAUGUUCCGAAUUUUUAAAUCAAAAUAUUUAAUUUGAAUUCAAAGAAUUUUUUUUUAACUCAGAAUCAAAGUAAAAGUUCAUUGUUUUAGAUGAAUUUUCUUUUGAACCAAAGUAAUUUUUCGUCAAACAGUCGACACAUCUUCAUUAUUAGCUUCUGUUAGGUGAACGGGUCGGCGAGAAGCUUUCCCGACAACCAGCCAGACCUAUUCAUUUUCUCCGGAAUCUUCCUGCCGCGCAACCACCAGACAGCACCGAAAUCACAAGACGUACCCGGCGUAGGAAAGUUUCGACAGCUUUGAGAGGACAAACGACAGUGGACUCUUAGGGCAAUCAUUCAUCAAACUAAUUGGAAGAGGUAACUGUAUACCGACUGUUCCGGUCCUCCAACUAUGCGGUUGCAAUCGCUUCGGGCCGAUCCAAGAAGACUCAACAUCUGGCGCCGAAACCCUUCAUCAGUUGUUCGGGUGCAAACAAACAUCGUCCAAUGAACCGGUUCAAGAACUCUUAUCCUGUGGAAAAUCGAUAAUCUAAAUGAAGUACUUUAAGA